UUCUUAUUCAAAACCACCCUUCUGAUUUCUGUAAAAGAUAGACAGGAACAUGGGCAGGAUGUUUAUACAGCAAAAUGUAAACAUUUUCCCUGGCCUCCUUUAAAUAAAAAAUCAAGCAAAAGCCCCGUUAGAUCAGCUAAUACUCAAUCCGAUGCGAUAUGCCCGUCUGUUCUGGCGUCCUGUGUAGAUGUUGAACGUUUUUUACAUGAAUAUUGUUUGUGUAAUGCAGUCAUAAUAUUUACGCAGGGACGCAGGAGGAGUGAGGUGGAAGCUCUGCCGAGCUCUGAGCAGAGAAACUCGGACGGGGACUUGAGAUCGACUCCUGCAGGCAUCGUAUGAUCCAGGAAUGAAGGAACAUUCAGUCCCACACAGUGAGUGGGAGCCUGCUUGGUGCCCCACCCUGCAGCCUACACCUCUCAGGGCCGCUCCACCAUGGUCUGUCUGAUGCAGGGAGAGACAUCAAUAAUAAGAGCUGAAGCAGAAACCACAAUGGAGAACACAAAAGAGAGAGGGAGGGCACACACAGGCCACAACCGGCUCUGCUGCAGGCUGGAGUGGGCAGCCGUGCGGCUUUGGCCACAGGAAGCUGUGAAUUCUUUGGAGAAUGGAAGAUGUCUUAUGGGGAGACAUACCGGCCUCCACCCACCCACUCACCACCCCAAAAUGACACCUGACCCCUUCAUGUGUUUAUAUCAGACCAUGGAAGUGAGAAAUAGUGAUGAGUCACUCUGGCUGUGUGUUUACACUCCAGAGUCACGCAAGGAAGGAAAUCAGCCAUGGUCUGCUAAAAGUGGCGAGGUGAGAGAGAAUAGCUGCAGUCCCCCAGCGCUGCAGUGAUUUACCUCUCAGAGCCACAAUAUAUUUCACGUCAUCUCUGCUAAGAGGACUUUAGACCAACAGAAAAAAGAAACGUUAGCAGCGCUGUGGACUUGGCUCUGAUUGCCGCAAGGGCGAAAAGAAGAGGGAGAUACUGAGGCUAGGUGUUUGUGCAUACAUAUACUAUGUGUAUUCAGUCUUUUUAGAGACACAGUGUCAAUCACGUACAGUUGCUUUCUAAUCAAGGCAGGUUAAUGUCAUUAAAUGGAAACCUGUAUCUCCACACAUCACAGAAAAACAGGGGUUUCAUCUUGAUGACCAUACAUUUCACUAUGUAACUUGUAUUAAAAUGUUUUCAGAAACCUUUUUUUGUUAGCUACAAGGAGAGGAUCCAAUUGCUCAAUUUAAUGUAAAACUUAAGUAUUUAAAAUUGGAGUUACCAUUUUUUUACCCAACAGAAAUUAUAUGUAUCCUACCUGUUCAGACUUUCUAUAUUUUAAUUUAAAUACUUGAUAUAAUUCACAACCAGAUUUAAAAGAAAACACAAAAAAACUUUGUCGUUAUGAUUUCCUGCAAAAAACACACCAAGUAAUCCAACAAUUGAAGCCCUUAACCUAACAUGAUUAUGCAGCGCUUGGUCUUUUGUGUGACAUUGUGUGGGUCACAUAUAUCCCAGCUUAUUUUUACAUAAUUAUCAGAGGAUGUUUUGAUUUAAAAAAGUGAAUUUUAUGAAAGCAAGCUGGCAAUAAUCACCCCUAAUGAUUCAAAUGAAAUCUUUGUUUGUGCAAAAGAUUUCAUAAAAAUCCCAAAUCAUACGUAAUUUUAAUGGCUUGGACUGAAACAAAACAGACUUAUUAGAUUUUGAACUGAAAUCAUAUUAAAGAGAUAGACGUGACAUUUUUAGCAUCUUCACCAUUUUAUAUUGUCAAUAACCGAUGUGCCUUACAGGUAAGGCAUACCUUAUGGAUUCAAAAAUACAAUAUUAUAAAAAAAAUGUUCCCAUUGUAUUAUAAAAUGUGUUAAUGAUAUACGUGUGUUCAUAGAGUGCUGUAUGAACAACACUGGGCACGCAUUGGUUUGUGCUCUAAAGGACUUUAUGUGCAAUGUAUUGUAAGGUGUGUUUACUGUGGCUACAACGAGUGUUUCAACCAUAGUGUCAUUGUUUUUCUCCACACUGAGCGACUUUAGAUUUUAGAUUGCACAACUGAUGUUUCCAGGGACUGUAGUUACUGCAGUUGUGCUCUGUAAAUAAAAAUGACACUUCAUUUCUUUCCAUCA